rnacentral:rRNA from 1 species
AUUGAACGCUGGCGGCAUGCCUUACACAUGCAAGUCGAACGGCAGCACGGGAGCUUGCUCCUGGUGGCGAGUGGCGAACGGGUGAGUAAUACAUCGGAACGUACCCUGAAGUGGGGGAUAACGUAGCGAAAGUUACGCUAAUACCGCAUAUUCUGUGAGCAGGAAAGAGGGGGGAUCGCAAGACCUCUUGCUUUAGGAGCGGCCGAUGUCGGAUUAGCUAGUUGGUGAGGUAAAGGCUCACCAAGGCGACGAUCCGUAGCGGGUCUGAGAGGAUGAUCCGCCACACUGGGACUGAGACACGGCCCAGACUCCUACGGGAGGCAGCAGUGGGGAAUUUUGGACAAUGGGCGGAAGCCUGAUCCAGCCAUGCCGCGUGAGUGAAGAAGGCCUUCGGGUUGGU